rnacentral:rRNA from 1 species
GCACCCGCACAAGCGGUGGAGCAUGCUGUUUAAUUCGAAGAUACGCGAAAAACCUUACCUGGGCUUGACAUCCCUCUGACAGUUCUAGAAAUAGAAUCUUCCUUUCGGGGACAGGGGUGACAGGUGGUGCAUGGUUGUCGUCAGCUCGUGUCGUGAGAUGUUUGGUUAAGUCCAAUAACGAGCGCAACCCUUAUCCUUAAUUGCUAACAUUUAGUUGAGAACCUUAAGGAGACUGCCGGUGAUAAACCGGAGGAAGGUGGGGAUGACGUCAAAUCAUCAUGCCCCUUACGUCCAGGGCUACAGGCGUGCUAUAAUGGCAGAUAUAGAAAGAAGCAAUACCGUGAGGUGGAGCAAAUCUCCAAAGUCUGUCUCAGUUCGGAUUGAAGUCUGCAACUCGACUUCAUGAAGCUAGAAUCGCUAGUAAUCCCAGAUCAGAAUGCUGGGGUGAAUACGUUCCCGGGUGUU